GCGACAACUGCUUUCGUGGUGUCGGGCCCUGCAGCUGUUGCUGGGCCAAGUGGCCUUACACAGCCACCGGCUACCCCCCAGGUGCUGCGGCCUACCACCCAGGUGCCGCAGCCAACCCCGCAGGUGCCGCAGCCUACCCCUCGAGAGCCACGGGCACCCCGUAGACAGCCCAGGCA
rnacentral:lncRNA from 1 species